rnacentral:lncRNA from 1 species
CUCAACCAAAGCAAUUAAUAGACAUGAUACUUGAUAAAUUGAUCUCCAUCAAUUGUAAUUGAGUGUAAGAUUUUGUAUGAGAUAUGUCUAGUCACCCUGUUAAUUAUUCUAUUUUGAGAAUAUUUGGUUGUACUAUAUAUAUUCAUGUGAAUGAUGGUAAAUUUGAAUGGAGGGCAAAAAGAUACAUAUUCCUAAGUUAUGUGGAUGA